rnacentral:rRNA from 1 species
GACGAACGCUGGCGGCGUGCUUAACACAUGCAAGUCGAACGGAAAGGCCCUGCUUUUGUGGGGUGCUCGAGUGGCGAACGGGUGAGUAACACGUGAGUAACCUGCCCUUGUCUUUGGGAUAACUUCAGGAAACUGGGGCUCAUACCGGAUAUGAUCUCCUGCUGCAUGGUGGGGGUUGGAAAGUUUCGGCGGUUGGGUAUGUACUCGCGGCUUAUCAGCUUGUUGGUGGGGUAGUGGCUUACCAAGGCUUGGACGGGUAGCCGGCCUGAGAGGGUGACCGGCUACAGUGGGACUGAGAUACGGCCCAGAGGCCUACGGGAGGCAGGAGUGGGGAAUAGUGCACAAUGGGCGGAAGGAUGAUGCAGCAACGCCGCGUGCGGGAUGACGGCCUUCGGGUUGUAAAAAGCUUUCGACUGAGACGAAGCGUGAGUGACGGUAAUGAGUAAAGAAGCACCGGCUAACUACGU